UACGUAGGGGGCAGGCGUUAUCCGGAUUUACUGGGUGUAAAGGGAGCGUAGACGGUAAUGUAAGUCUGGAGUGAAAGGCGGGGGCCCAACCCCCGGACUGCUCUGGAAACUAUGUUACUAGAGUGCAGGAGAGGUAAGCGGAAUUCCUAGUGUAGCGGUGAAAUGCGUAGAUAUUAGGAGGAACACCAGUGGCGAAGGCGGCUUACUGGACUGUAACUGACGUUGAGGCUCGAAAGCGUGGGUAGCAAACAGG
rnacentral:rRNA from 1 species